rnacentral:rRNA from 1 species
UGGGGAAUAUUGGACAAUGGGCGCAAGCCUGAUCCAGCCAUGCCGGGUGAGUGAUGAAGGCCCUAGGGUUGUAAAGCUCUUUCACCAAGAAGAUAAUGACGUACACAG